UACGGAGGGUGCAAGCGUUAUCCGGAUUCACUGGGUUUAAAGGGUGCGUAGGAGGGCAGGUAAGUCAGUGGUGAAAUCUCCAAGCUUAACUUGGAAACUGCCGUUGAUACUAUCUGUCUUGAAUACCGUGGAGGUGAGCGGAAUAUGUCAUGUAGCGGUGAAAUGCUUAGAUAUGACAUAGAACACCAAUUGCGAAGGCAGCUCGCUACACGAAUAUUGACUCUGAGGCACGAAAGCGUGGGGAUCAAACGGG
rnacentral:rRNA from 1 species